GCCGGGCUGGCCGGGUUGCACACCGCGCGGCUGCUGGCCGGGCAGGGCCACGACGUGCUGGUCGUCGACCGCCGC
rnacentral:tRNA from 1 species